rnacentral:rRNA from 1 species
AACGGCGAGUGAAGCGGCAACAGCUCAAAUUUGAAAUCUGGCUUCGGCCCGAGUUGUAAUUUGCAGAGGAAGCUUUAGGCGCGGCACCAUCUGAGUCCCCUGGAACGGGGCGCCACAGAGGGUGAGAGCCCCGUAUAGAUGGACGCCUAGCCUGUGUAAAGCUCCUUCGACGAGUCGAGUAGUUUGGGAAUGCUGCUCAAAAUGGGAGGUAAAUUUCUUCUAAAGCUAAAUACCGGCCAGAGACCGAUAGCGCACAAGUAGAGUGAUCGAAAGAUGAAAAGCACUUUGAAAAGAGGGUUAAAUAGCACGUGAAAUUGUUGAAAGGGAAGCGCUUGUGACCAGACUUGCGCCGGGCGGAUCAUCCGGUGUUCUCACCGGUGCACUCCGCCCGGCUCAGGCCAGCAUCGGUUCUCGUGGGGGGAUAAAGGCACCGGGAACGUAGCUCCUCCGGGAGUGUUAUAGCCCGGGGCGUAAUGCCCUCGCGGGGACCGAGGACCGCGCAUCUGCAAGGAUGCUGGCGUAAUGGUCAUCAGCGACCCGUCUUGAAACACGGACCAAGGAGUCAAGGUUUUGCGCGAGUGUUUGGGUGUAAAACCCGCACGCGUAAUGAAAGUGAACGUAGGUGAGAGCUUCGGCGCAUCAUCGACCGAUCCUGAUGUUUUCGGAUGGAUUUGAGUAGGAGCGUUAAGCCUUGGACCCGAAAGAUGGUGAACUAUGCUUGGAUAGGGUGAAGCCAGAGGAAACUCUGGUGGAGGCUCGCAGCGGUUCUGACGUGCAAAUCGAUCGUCAAAUCU